UGGCCCGUGGCCCAGCGGUGGGGCGCCCACCCGCGGAGGGGGUAACCCCCCACCGAGGUCCCGGGUUCGAAUCCCGGCGGGCCCACCA
rnacentral:tRNA from 1 species